rnacentral:lncRNA from 1 species
GACCCCCUAAAAUUUUAUAGCAAAAAUUAAUAAUAGAAAGGGGAGGCUAAGACUCUAUCUAAAGUAUUCAGACACCCGUAAUCUCGUUGGCUAGAUCCACCACUGCUCAAAUGCACAGCCCACCCUCAUGAUUUCUCUAGCAACAGAAACCGGCAACAACAUUAUUCAGCAACAGGACUCCCCGUGGUCUAGUGCUUCACCGGUUCUCAUGAUAGGAGAAAAGGUCGUUGAAUUUGGAUGUAUGUUUAAGCUUGGUUGCUUUCAUGAAAUGAAACAACUUGCUGAAACUAGUACUUGGUCGACAGUCAAGAAGGACAUAUAUAUAUGUAAGGAGUAAUCACCAUGCUACAGAUGACUGCCUGGCAUUGUAUUUCGUUCAUGUUUCAGGUUUCUUGAUGGUUGAAUAGAAGACCAAGGUACCAGAAGAAAGAUAAGUGGACCAAAGGUGAGCUAAAAAAAAGAGGUUUCUAGAAACAAAUAGAUAAAGUUGUUUGCGCAUAUAAUUUUAUGAUUUGCUCCUUUAGUAAAAACUAUUUUGCUAAUAAAUCCUUAUCUUUUAGCAAAAAUUUAUUUAGAUUUUCAAAACAUUCAAAAUAUAUAUUUACAGCAGUGACAUGCUUAUGUGAGAAUGACUUAGUCUAUGGAUAACAUAUUAUGGAACAAUAGGAUCUUGUUGGAGUGGUGGGGGACUUUGGUGGCCAUGUGGCAUGGGAGAACAAAAACCCGAUUGCCAACUGUCACCCUUUCAUCAAGCCAACAAUAUGGACAUAUUGAAAACUCAGAAACCGUAUAUUCAUAUGAUUAAUUCUAUUUCUAUCGAUAGGUUCUUACAGUGGCGUUCUCUUUCUACGGAGUGCUAUAUGUGGGGUUAUAGGACAUCACGGAGAAUUCUAAUAUUUAGUUGUUUUAGUCUAUGUAAAUCAUGUCAUCAAUUUAAAAUAAGAAUAUUAUGUGUUAUGACAUGUAUAGCAUGCUCGGUAAUUUUCGUUGUUAGUUUGCCAAUGCAUGAAUUGUUUAGAUGUUUGAGAAAAAAAUAAUAUAAUAUGCAUAUUUCUUUCCUUAAGGGGCGGGGGGGGGGGGGUAAUGGUCGCGUUAACUUUUAUGAUGGUUUCAUAACGAAACACUUUUCUAUAGGCUUAAUGUUUUGUGCAUGAAUUUAAAAUAAAAUAUAAUUACUUUCUUAAAUAGAACAAGAUGUAUAUGCAUAGACUACAAAGUGUGUGUAACAAUGACAAAUAAGAGGAAGAGAAGAUAUCCGUGCACUAACGAAGACUGUUUAAGGCAGCAACUCAUAUAGAUGUAUAUCGUGUUAUGCCAUUUAUUGUUAGCAGCACAAUUUCAUUCAUAAAUUUUUGUUGACCAAUGUUUUCACCAGCAAUGAGUAGCGUCCUACAUUUUAUAUAGUAGGGAUGUUAAGAGUUGCGCAAAUUCUAGUCAUAUAUGAACAUUUUUACUGUCUUUAAUGUGCAACUUUGACCGUAGUUUUGUAUUAAAGUAUUUUACGAAAUCUCACAAAUUUUUUGACAUAAUGAUAGUAUUUUCAGGAAUAGUUUGGGUAAACCGGGAGGCUGGGAGGAGCUGGGACAUAAGUACGGGAAAAAUCUGGAUUGGGAGGUGUCAAGCCGGACUGAAACACUGGAAUUUCGGACUAGCUAGGAGGUGAUACGAACUAAUAAACAACGCGUCACAUGCUCUUUAGCGUGACCGUAUAACAUCGUAAUUUAUUAUCUGUUGUGAACUCAUUCAAAUUAAAAUUGAUGUCCAAAGUUUUCAAGUUUGGCUGAUCUUAUCCUAUAGAUUAAAUGUUUACAAAGAUUGUGUGUGUUUUAUCCAACUCCAUGUAGUGAAAAAUCUUCUCUGUAAUAACUGUUUUGCGAUUAAAUGUACUCUCUCAUUCAGCGAAAUAGCUAGCCUAUUUAAGCCACACAGGCACACACAUGAACGCAGCUUUAAAAUGUGCAUCUGUAUACAACCCUAUGAAAUGCAUUACGGUGCUCUUGUAGGACACCUACACCUCGUUGGAAUGGAAGGCACGAGGGAUUUGGGACGCACAACACGAGUUGUCGCCGUCUGGAUCAAAGGGUGAAGGAGUGAAUGGUAUGACCACGCAUGCAGAACCUCCUGCUAUAUCUGUGGCAAUAGAAGGUGGCAACAACAUUAUUCAGCAAAUUAAAGGACUCAUUGUUCUCCACUGCUUCACCGGUUCUCAUGAUAGAAAAGGCCGUGGUUUGGAUGCAUGGAUAUAUCCAUUU